CUGGCUUUGAGUCUGUCCCAGCUCCCCGUUGUUUCACCUUUUGCUUGGGGUUGGGAGUCGGUGUGUAGUCUUCCUCCAUGACGUCGGAUAGCUCCUCGGAGAAGUCUGAGCAUCCUCCAUGCAGCGCCGCCAUGUUUGACUCGCCAGUGCCCCGGGCCUGACUCCACAUUUCUCCUAUCGUAAGUCCCGAUGUGUGCUUGUGUGG